GCGCCGAUGGCUCAAUUGGAUAGAGCACCUGACUACGGAUCAGGAGGUUGCAGGUUCGAAUCCUGCUCGGCGCA
rnacentral:tRNA from 1 species